AGAGUUUGAUCCUGGCUCAGAAUGAACGCUGGCGGCGUGCUUAACACAUGCAAGUCGCACGAGAACGCUUCAGCUUGCUGAAGCUAGUAAAGUGGCGCACGGGUGAGUAACGCGUGGGUAAUCUACCCUCGAAUUGGGGAUAACAUUGCGAAAGCGAUGCUAAUACCGAAUAAGACCACGGUAUCACAUGAUAACAGUGGGAAAAGGUGGCCUCUGUAUAUGCUAUCACUUGGAGAUAAGCUCGCGGACCAUUAGCUUGUUGGUAGGGUAACGGCCUACCAAGGCUAAGAUGGUUAGCUGGUCUGAGAGGAUGAUCAGCCACACUGGAACUGAGACACGGUCCAGACUCCUACGGGAGGCAGCAGUGGGGAAUAUUGCGCAAUGGGGGAAACCCUGACGCAGUGACGCCGUGUGAGUGAUGAAGGUUUUCGGAUCGUAAAGCUCUGUCAGAUGGGAAGAAUAAAGGCAGUGAAAAUAUUUCUGCCUGAUGACGUACCAUCAGAGAAGCACCGCUAACU
rnacentral:rRNA from 1 species